GCAGUCAUGAAACCUCAGUUCUCAUAUGAUCAUCGAAGUAAAGCAACAUAGAUCCUGGUCAGUACCUAGAUGAGUGACCACUUAGGAAUACCAGGUGCUGUAAG